rnacentral:misc_RNA from 1 species
GGAGCGUGUAAGUGUGUGCGUGUGUGUGUAUGUGUGCAGUGAAGUGCAAAAGAAACACGAUAAAAAAAAAAAACAACACGCCAAGCAGUUGCGCCCGUUUUAGCUGAUAAAGCGUAUAGAAAAAAAGUACAACAACAACAACAACACACAAAGCAGUAGGCACGAAACGAGUGAAAAUAGAAAAUUAAUAAUUAGCUAGAAGAAGCAGCAGCAGCAUUCACACAGGCGAUUUGUAAGUGAUCAGUGCUAAAAAAAAAAAAAGAAAAAAAACGUAAAUGAAAAAUUAAAAUAACAAAUCGUGCAACUUUUCCCAUAAAUAGUGCAAAUCAAAAUUCUCGGUGCAGCGGCCAAAUUUGUAUCGAUCGCACACAGCAACAAAAACACAUACAAAUACAACUACAGCUACAACUACAAAUACAAUAACAAAAGCAACAACAAUAACAAAUCGCACAUCAGAUUUUCAAACUGCAACUGUUGGCGCCUCAAGCGCCGUUAUUUAAUACCGCAAAUCCGUCAAAAUGUCAACAAUGGAGGUGCGCAACAACUCGGCCAUGAUGAAGCGUGCCGAGCAGCUGAAGCGCUGGGAGGAGUCGGACACAAAUCGCGCCGCCCCCACGCCUCGUCGCGAGGACUGUCGCAGCAUCAAGUUUAGCUCCGGCUGCGUUUUUCUCGCCGCCUGCCUCUCCGGCGACAAGGAGGAGGUCGUCCAGCUGCUCAAUCAGGGCGCCGACAUUAACACGGCCAAUGUUGAUGGCCUCACCGCUUUGCAUCAGGCCUGCAUCGAUGACAAACUCGACAUGGUUGAGUUUUUAAUAGAGCACGGCGCCGAUAUCAAUCGGCAAGACAACGAGGGCUGGACGCCGCUGCAUGCAACCGCCUCCUGCGGCUUUGUCAGCAUAGCAUGCUAUCUGGUGGAGCACAACGCCGAUGUGGCUGCCGUGAACAGCGAUGGCGAUCUGGCGCUGGACUUGGCUAUCGAUGUGCAGCACAUGCCCAUGAUUAACUAUAUGGAAAAGGUGGUGCAGGAGCUGAAUAUUGAUGUGGAUCAGGCACGUAGGGCCGAGGAGCAGGCCAUGCUGAAAGAUGCCAAGCGCAGCGAUGCGGCCGAAGUGGAUCAGCCGCAUCCAAAAACUGGUGCAACGGCGUUGCAUGUGGCCGCCGCCAAGGGCUAUACGAAAGUGCUACGUCUAUUGCUGGCCCGUGACUGCAAUGUUGAUAGGCAGGAUAACGAUGGCUGGACACCAUUGCAUGCUGCCGCACACUGGGGCCAAAAGGAGACAGCUGAAAUGCUGGUGGAGGCCCUGGCCGAUAUGGAUAUACCCAAUUAUGCUGGCCAAUCCUGCAUCGAUGUGGCCGAUCGCAAAAUGGUCAAAUUCCUUGAAGAGCUGCGCGCCAAUAAGCGCAACAAACGGCGUCCAUCUAGUCAAAUCAGAAUCUCAGAUGCGAUUGAAAAUCAUGUGGACAAAACACGAAUGAAACUCGUACGCGUCGAAGUGAGAACUGAUGCCGCUAAGGAUGCUGCGAGCGGUUCGCUUAACGCCAGCGAUCAAGUUGCGCUAAAUGAUGAUGAUGUUGCUGCCACAGUUGUUACUGCUGCCCAGGAUCAUAAUGAUGUUGAUGAUAAUGAUGAUGUUGAUGUUGAUGUUGAAAGCGAUUCAGAGCUGAGCGAUUCGACAGAGAGCUCACACAGCACAAGUCUAUCCGAGAGCGAAGCUGAAAAUGUUAAACCCAAUCAGCAUAUACAUGCUGGCGAGCAUUCUGCCGAGGAGGAGGCGCCCUGGCGACGCAAAACUCUGCGCACGCCCAACGACAGUCCCACUAAGAAUCAAGUUCCUGACAAAGAGCUGAGCGGCAAAAGCGCUAAUGAGAGCGCAAACGAUGUCAUCUUGCGGCGCACGCAAAGCUUUGAGAAUGAUCAAAAGAAACCAAUCGCUCCAGCUACGAUGCUGACAGCAGCGACAACAACGACUACAACAACAACAACGACGCUCAGCUCACCAUCAACAACUGUGCUCACCCCACCUAUACGCAGAUCCUUUGUGCCGCCAGUGCGCGACGAGGAGAGCGAAACGCAGCGCAAGGCGCACGCGAAACGAGUCCGUGAGACGCGUCGCUCCACGCAGGGCGUUACGCUCGAGGAGAUCAAGAGUGCCGAGGAGCUGGUCAAGAAGAAGAACUUGGGCAUGAACAACAACAACAACAAUAACAACAACAACAGCAGCAGCUUCAAGCUGGAGGACAUCACCAGCGGUGGCACCUACCCGCCCAAUCAGAGCACAAUCAUACCCAGCGCACCGGCCGUGAUGGCCGCGGUUAAUUUGGCCAGCACAACGGGCAACCCGCGUCGCAUAAGCAGUGGACCCAAUGCGCUUAACGCUUCCAAUCAAUCGCUCAACUCGGUGGGUCGUCCGGUCUCAGCACCCAGCGAGAGCAGCAAUAACAGCGCAUAUGUGACGCCGCCGGCGCGUAGAUACGAGACAUCCACGCUGGGGACAGCUGCCUCGACAACAGCCACAACAACUGCCACGACAGCCACCAACUCCGCGUCUGCAUCCAGUGCCAACCAUGGAACGGCGACUAGCUCCACGCCCGGCCAUGAUGAUAAGGAUAACGACAAGGAGAACGAUAAUCGUACACAGACUGUUAUUCAGCGACGUCGCAAGCCCAAGCGCAGAUCCACGGGCGUGGUGCAUAUCGAUAUGGAUGAAAUUGAUCCGGAACGCCAACACGAAACGGCCAACAAUGACAAUGAGGAUAAGGAUAAGGAGAGCGGCAGUGAACGCACCUCACGCUCUCGCACCGCGAGCACAGCGACAACGAGCACCGGCAGCGAUUCAAAGAGUUCCAGCAACAACGACAAAGCGGAAAACGGCGAUGGCAUCGACUACAAGGCGCUCUGGGAAGCGGCCAAACUGGAGAACGAUAAGCUCAAGCAAAUGCUCAAGCAGAAGGACGACGAAGCUGUACAGACGCGUGCGACGCUCGAGCGCUUCGCCAAUGCCACCACUAAAAAUUCACUCUCUGAGAUUGAGAAACGUGAAAGAAGAGCUAUGGAACGCAAGCUUUCCGAAUUGGAAGAAGAGCUCAAGCUAUUGCAGAAGCUAAAGACUGAGAACGACCGCCUGCGUGCCGAGAAUCGAGCCCUCACGCGUGUCGUCUCUAAGUUGACCACCUCGGCCCAGAGUCAGCUGGCCAAAAGCAAAUAGGCAACAAUUUACAACAAACAAAAGAAAUAAACAAAAAAAUAAAAAAUAGAAUAUCCUAAAAUAUUGAAAAAACAGCAUAAUCGAAUAUCGUAAUCGUAAUCGUAAUCGCAAACGCAAACCGCUAUCGUAAUCGUAAUCGUAAUCGUUAUCGUUUCUUUAAAUACUCGAGCUGCACACAUAUAUUUACAUACGUACACGCAUACCUAGUUAAAUUCUUAGAUAUCGUACACCCAUCGUCUAGCCUAGAGAUAUUCAGAAACCAUUUUGAUGAACAACUUUAAAGAUUCUUCCACCAUCGAUAUUGUUUAUUAUCAUUAUCAUUAUUAUUAUUAUGAGACAAACAACAACAAGAACAAUUUGCAUUGUUAUAUUGAGCGCAACGUGUAACAAUAAUUAAAUGUACUGUAGUUAAAUUAAGUUUAUAACUUUUGGGGGCAACGAGCACUUAGCAGGCAAAUUUCUAUUUUUGCACCGCUGUACUUUUAGCCCAGAGCAAAAUAAUAUAUGACACAUACACACAUAUUGUAUUGGAGUUAUAUGAAAUAAUACAGAAUAUAACGUUACAAGAUAUAGCACAACAUAUGGCAACUAUAUAUACACACACAUAAGUAUCGUAUACAUACGUUUAAUCAAAAUCAAAAGCUACAUCAAAAAUCGUAAAUCGUAACUCAACGCAACCCAAGGAUUUGCCCAAAUGCUCAACUAUGCUGCCCACGCACUACUUCUACAACAACAACAACAACAAUUGCAGCAAUUCGGUCGUGGCACGAGCACCAAGAUCAUCAUCAGCACAGAUCUAUUAACUUAUUUCUUAUAUGCAGUGAGCUUUACGCAACUUGAUGCCUACAAGUCGGACAAUGACCGCCUGAAGGAGGAGAACGCCGCGUUGAUUAGAGUAAUUAGUAAAUUAAGUAAAUGAAA